GGGGCCGCGGCUCCCGGGACCGUCGGGGCGCCUGCGAGCUCUGUGCGGGAGACGGGCGCGGUCAGGGCCCGGGACGCCGGUCCCCGACACAGCCGAGGCCGCCGCCUCCGGAAAAGUUUUUGGCUCCUAUCUGAUCCUGGUCGCAGCGGGCCCUACCCUCACCCUGCUCCUUGAGGCCACCACCUUUUGUUCCACGGAUUAUCCCCCAGUGGCCCCCGUGUCAACUCAGGUCCGUCCACGCCCACCACACUCCAGGAUGAUUAGCCCAGAGACUACCAAUAGAUGUUGUGGCUCUUCACACGGAGGGGGAGAGGAGGGUUGGCUGUUCAUACAGGAAUGCGGGUCGCUCUGAACACCAGCCUCCGUCACCAAGAGGAAGGAUGAAUGGAAAGAGCACUUAGGUAGCUUUUUACUUAAGUGAGUAGGGUGAGCAGAGAAUUCAGUUUCAUUUCUCCAAUGGGAAAAAGGAAGCCAGAGAUCCCAGAAGUCGUAAACCUGAACUCUCAGUUCUUGAGGAGUGUCUGUGUCUGGUGCUGGGGGUCUGGCGUUCGAAUGUCACCCUCAGAUCGACCCUGAGCAGGCAAGUGGCUCCCGAGCUCUGUGCCUCAGUCCCCCCCACGUUAGACAAAGGAAGAGCAUCUGCUAUUCCUUCUUUUCUCCUCCACAGGAAUGAGCGAACUCUCGUAUGUUCUUUAGUUAGGCUAUGAGCAGGUGUUUAAUUUGUGCUCUCAGAAGAGUGUUUUCUUCCCACCAGGGAUACUGAGCAAAGCAGACCCGAAUGGAUUAUCAAAGAAAGCACAGUCCCUUUUGAGGAUUUUGGACUUCUCUACAGGGGAAGACCACAGUGACCCAUUAGUGAGGAACUGAAACCAAGUCACAUCAGAGACAUGAGUACAGAUCUGGACUGUUUCAUCCCCUGGGCUCUAUACCUUUCUCCUGGGUCCACUCCUGAUUCCAGCUCUUGCUAAUGUUGCCAGCCAAGUUCUACCCAAGGUCCUCAUCAGGCCAAACACUCAUGGGAACAGGAGCAAGAGAAGGGGAACACAAGGGACCCACUGUGGGUCUUGGAAGACCCUCUGAAGCUGACAAUGGCAUGGCCUAACCCAAGUGUUUUGGUAUAGUUGCUGUAAAGCAAGGGAUCUCUGUGAGAGAAAAAAUACCCAUUACAGGUCACAGAUGGUCAGUGCUGGAGCCUGGCAGCCAGGGUGAGUGGAUCCCCAUGGGAUACAGGAUGAGGCCUUCAGGCCCGCCUGGCACACAGAUCUUUCCAUAGCACACACAUGAUGUAACAGCAGUCUAUUCAAGGUUCUCAGUCAGCCACAUCCAAACCCCGAAGGCUGGGAGAGAACUCAGCCUUUGGUCCAAUUAUCUAGUCUAUCUUCAAGGAGGCCUUUACACUGACAUCACACCACCGACUGUUCUCUCUCUCCCUCCUUUCAUAGAUGAGCAAACAAGCACAAUGUGCAGAUGGGGUGUCUUUGAGAAGAACUGAGCUGGAUGGACCUCUUUUAGUUCUCAGGAGAGAAAGAGCAAGUGGCUGUCAGCUCUUCAGAAAGCAGAUUUUAUAAGGGAAAGAUAAAUAAGCGAUGACCUCAGAGGGAAAACCCAGCCAAGUUAACUCAGCCACAAAGAAGGGCACACAGACCAGGAGCUGGAAAACUAGGUCUGCAUCACCCUUUCCUAGCAGGUAAACUGAGAUAAGGAAGAUAAGACGGCUUGAUUUGCUGGCCAGUGGACACCACGAGGUCUGGCCUCCAAACAAAGAAUGACCUUGUCUUCCCACCUCCUUGAAUUCUAAAAUGAACCUUCUCCUGAACUGCAGCAACGUUAAAAAGGAUAAUUUACCAUUAUUAAUCCACUGUAGCAAAAUUGAACCAACUUUCUUUCUAAAACCUGAAAGUUGUGAUAAAAAAACAAAAAGACCAGGCGAUUACACAUAGCAGGCAAGAAAGUACGGAUUGGAUCUAGAUGUAGUGAGAGGUAAAUAUGAAUUUGCAUUUGAGUUCUUAAUUUCCAGGCUUAAAUUUUUUCUUUUUUUCACGACUCUGAAAUAAGGGCAAAUAUGACCUCGUUUUACUGAAGGUUUAGCUGAGGUAUAAGGACAUUGCUAAGUUAGGAUGCUAUUGGGAUAAACAAAGAUCCCAAAAUGCACACUUAACUCAUUUGGAAUGAGAAAUCUGGGCUCGUUUUCGAGCCCGCAUGUGGCCCUUGGUGUGUCUGUACCAAUGGUGAAAUUGCCUUACUUAAGCCUGGCUGGUCCUGAUUUAGACUUUCUGCCUCUACUGCCAUAGCUCAUAGAAUCCCCUCACUGAUGCAUUUUCCUCUCUAAAAAGCCUAUCCCCUAACCCCCACCUGCCCAGAGGAGUUAUUUUUCCUUGUGAGUCCACAGCACCUCAUGGUAUUUCUACUUUCCAGAGGAAUCAAAGGCUGGUCUGACACUUCCUUUCUUGGGGGGGUUCAACUCCACAUUCAAUUCCUCUCUGGCUUCUUCUUCUUCAGCUUCUCCCAAGAUGGAAUAUAUCUGUGUUUAUUAUUAGGACCAUGUGCAAAGUUAUUAAAUUGCUAUAAUAAAAUUUAUUUUUAUCUUUUGUAAA